CUCAAUGGGCGCUUUCUAGUCGGCGUGGGCCGCGGGCGCGUUGCCGGGAGCCGAGGGUCUGCCGGGCGGCGGGGGCAGGAGGAAGCGGCCGCCGGCCUGCAUCCCGUCUCCGUGACAGGAGCAUCUCAGCAUCCUCCAGGAGCAGGAAACCAUGCUUAUAUUUUCAAGAUUAUUCUCUUAAUAUCGUCCACUUCAGUUUUAAAAGAAGGGGUCAAAACCUUUUUGACUCCGGAAAAGUUCAGGCAUUGUAGCCCAACCAGAAGAAUCUCAGGCUAAAAGCCUUGACAUUUGGCUAUUUGGGCAUUAACGAAGCAUGAAUGCCAAGUGACUGAGGAUGACACAAUGCUUCAGCUCCGCUUUGUAGUCCUCCCCCAAUGGGGAGGGGCUGGGAUGAUGGAAAAGCAAGUAGCUCCAGAGUGGACAUGAAGUGAGCAACAGCAGUGGCUUGCAGUUGGCCACCCUGUUUUAACCCUGGGAAACAAAGACACCGAUAACUAAUUUUGGUCCCCUCCUCAAACAGAGACAUAUUCAGCGGGUGACUUCUUACUUGUUUAAAUAAUGAGAAUUCAGCGGUGAAACAUGCAGAUAAAAACCUUUGUCAUAUGGAGCUUAAAAUUUUCAGAUUAUGUAGGAAUCAUUUCGUCUAGAGAAUUCCAUUCCAUGUCCAGUUUCAGAAAUGUCCAAUAUACGACCAACACUGAAGAGAGAGGAGGAUUUGGUAACAUUUUAUAGUUCUCACACUGUCUCUGUCCCAGGUCCUGUGUGCGUACCCUCCUCAGGGAUUUGGGAGUGAUGGAUGGAUACAAAGUGCACUUCCUUGCUCAAGGGUUAGUCCUGAUGCCCUGGGCAGGGCAGUUGUGGGUUCCCAGCAUCAUUCCAUCCAGUUUGCUUCCCUGUACCAGACUGUGCCUGCCCAAGAGUCUGGAAUCCAGCUUUGGCACCAACAUAGAAGGCUUGGAGUGAGAUGUGUACCACUCUGCCAAGAACCUCCAGACCCAGGUUCUACCACAAGUGUGCUGUGUGCCCUGUUCUCCCACCGAGGUCACUCAAGAGGACCAGGCAGUCACGGAAGCUGUGGCCAAAGGAGCAUCUGGAACUCUGCCCGAAGAGAUCAAAGAAACUUUUCCACUGAAGCACUCCUGGAGGAAGAGAAUGUUUCAGCUGUGCCAUGACUAGUGAGAUCUGAAGCCAAAGGACCAAUUCUAAUGCACCAAUAACAAAAACCCAUAUUUCCAUCUGCUAUGCCAGAAGAAAGGCAAAAUCACCACUUCUCUCUCCACAGAACAGCCUUACUAUAAAGUUCUCACCAUGAAGGGACAGAUGAUAAAGGAUCACAAAAAAGUUAUGUGAGUCAAAGGGCUAAACUCCGACAGGAACAGUGGUUGUCACUUAAUGCCAAUGAUAUUAUUUACACCAUCUUUUGGAUGCUUUUUUUUAUUUGCCAGGAGUUGUGGCUUCCUUAUUCAUUUUAAAAUGGUUAUUCACUCUUGAACCUAACUUUAUAUCCCUGAUCAUAACAAAGGUGCUGUGUUUUACCAGCUUCAUAAAAACCUGGGUCUGCCCUUAACAGAAAAUAUAUUUUAAUGAGCCAGACUGAAUAAAUAAUAGAAGAAAUCAGCAGCUCCAGGAGAAAACAAUUCCUUUAUCUUCUUAAAAAAAAAAACAGAAAUAAAAAAAACAAAAAACCUCUAUUAACAUUAGAUUCUCCCUCUUACUUGGUCUUGAAUCUACUGAAAAGCCAGUCAAGGGUGCUCAGAGUACUUACACCUACCAAACCUGCCUAUCCAGGCCUCAGUGAAAAAGGGAGGCACAAGCCCUGUCUUCUAAAUGGGAAGAAGGCCAGUUCGCCUGAGUCUAUUUUUGGAAAGAAAUUAAAAGAUGGGAAGCCCCCCAGAUCGAAGAGCAUAUCAUCAGUAUAUUUCUUUAGAAAUGAGUUAUGAAUUCAGUGUCAUCUGCUUCCUGAAGUCUUUGUGUGCCACAUCACCCGAUGUUUUCCAUUUUCUUGGGAGUGAACGGCAGGGCUGCAAGCCACGGAAGGGGAAAAGAACUGCCUGCCCUUUUUGUUGCAACCAAACCAAAGGGCUCUUGAUGUAUCGGUACAUUUGACACAGUCUUUAUUGCGCUCACGGGGACGAGGUCGAAGAUGGGUAGGGGAAAUAAAGGUUGUAAAUUUUAUAAAUGCAAGUCCUCUAAAGUAGGCCAAUUGGUCAGCUGUGAACUUGGCAGCAUCCUGAGGCAUGUGUGCUGGGCAGCUCAGGAACACGAUGUUCUGUUUCACUUCUGAGAGCAGGAGGGAAGCGGAGUAAGAGCUCAGCCCAGGACAGAGAGGGCUCAGCACAGACAUGAGAAAGGGCUGCGUGACAAAGUAGAGGCUGGCGGGGGAAGGCAGCAGCCAAGCAGAAGAGGAAAGAGAGCACUUACAGCCCCGGCGUUUGCGGAAACGGCGUUCUGGAAAAUUCCGGGCGCUUGUGUGGCUGGUGACUAAAAGCAGCAACUAACUUGUUUAAUGCAAGAGAAAUGAUGAAGUUUUGCAAACAUGCUUGAGAGUAACAUGGACUUUAUAAGCUGUGAGCUUUAAAGAUGUGUGGCAAGAAAAUCGUACUAAAGGCAGAAACGCGGGCUUCUUUAGUUCUUCAUUUAAAAGGACUUGCUUGGGCUCUCUCAAACCUCAAUUUACAUUUUAUGUUGUUUCAAUAAAUGUCUAGCUGUUAAUGAAUAAAAUGAUACAAUAAAUAAAAAUGAUAAAGUCUUUGA